GGUUAUCGCUUGCAAAAAUCUGCGCUCAGAUAAGCGCUUUCUGAGAAAGUUUUAUCUCGAGCAGCUCGGCGGUGUGCGUGGGAAGGCCGUGCCGCUGCUGGCCGCCGCGCUCCUCGGUGGCCGAGGUGCCGUUCCGGCUUUCCUGACGGCUUUCUCGUGUGGGGCUGUGGAAAGCAGCACCUCUGUCCCCCGGGGCCGGGGCCGUGGGAAGCGGCAGGCUGGGCCGUGUGCGGGCGAUGCCGCGGCAGGUUCGAGGCACGGCUGCCCCCCCUCACCGUGCACCGCUGCGCCCGGCGGCGGUCCAGAGAAAACCUGGAAGGCGUGAGGCUUUUUCACCUGGAAGGAAGCACACUCCUGUGCCCCACAGCCCUGUACCCCCCCCAACCCCUCAUCCCUGCAUCCUCCAACCCCACAUCCCUGCACCGCCCCCCCAACUCCACAUCCCUGCAUCCCCACAACCCCACAUUCCUGUGCCCCCACAUCUAUUUAUCCCCAUAUCCCUGUACUCCCAUCCCCACAUCCCUGUAUCCCCAUAUCCUCGCACCCCAACAUCCCUUCAUCUCUGCACCCCCACAUCCCUGCACCCCACAUCCCUAUAUCCCUGCAUCCCAGCAUCCCCUUAUCCCUGCACCUCCACAUCCCUGCACCCCACAUCCCCAGAUCCAUGUACUCCCAGCUCACUGCACCCCCAGAUCCCCAGAUCUCUGCCCCCCCAGACCCCUGCACCCCACAUCCCUAUAUCCCUGCACCCUCCCACCUCUAUUCCUGUAUCCCUGCACGCCCAUAUCCCUCUGUGCCUGUUCAUCCCCAUAUCCCUGCGUCCUGCAUCCCCAUGUCCCUGCCCCUGCCCGGGGCACAGACUUUGGAGGGACCCCUGGGACGCUUCCCCCAGGGGUGGCAGCAGCUCGUGGGCCUCCUGCCCCCCCGGCUCUGCCCAUGCCAUCCUGGCGGGGUCGCUGCCAGGCGGCUCCAGGGCCUCCAUGGCCCCGCCGGCCGGCUGCCGCGCUGCUCUUAUCUCCCAGCUUGUAUUUUGUCCGAGGGGCUCUCGGAGCACAAUGAGCCCAUUCUGCCCCAGAGCGGACGUGGGCGUCUCAAACUUCCCUGUUUUCUUUACUGGGAAACCGCAGGGCCGCUCGCAGGGGGCCAUGCGCAUUCCUCGCUGCAGCGGCGGCCGCAUCCCAGCGGCGGCACGGGAAAGCGGCACCUAGCCGGGGGCCCACAAA
rnacentral:lncRNA from 1 species